rnacentral:rRNA from 1 species
UGGGGAAUAUUGGACAAUGGGCGCAAGCCUGAUCCAGCCAUGCCGCGUGAGUGAUGAAGGCCUUAGGGUUGUAAUGCUCUUUUUGGCGGGGACGAUAAUGACGGUACCCGCAGAAUAAGCCCCGGCUAACUUCGUGCCAGCAGCCGCGGUAAUACGAAGGGGGCUAGCGUUGUUCGGAAUUACUGGGCGUAAAGCGCACGUAGGCGGAUCAGCAAGUCAGGGGUGAAAUCCCGGGGCUCAACCUCGGAACUGCCUCUGAUACUGCUGGUCUGGAGUCCGGAAGAGGUGGGUGGAAUUCCUAGUGUAGAGGUGAAAUUCGCAGAUAUUAGGAAGAACACCGGUGGCGAAGGCGGCCCACUGGUCCGGUACUGACGCUGAGGUGCGAAAGCGUGGGGAGCAAACAGGAUUAGAUACCCCCGUAGUCCCUGAGCGGGCUGGCAAGGCGCAU